rnacentral:rRNA from 1 species
UACGUAGGGUGCAGGCGUUAAUCGGAAUUACUGGGCGUAAAGCGUGCGCAGGCGGUCUGCUAAGAGAGAUGUGAAAUCCCCGGCUUAACCUGGGAACUGCGUUUCUAACUGGCAGGCUCGAGCACAGUAGAGGCAGGUGGAAUUCCCGGUGUAGCGGUGGAAUGCGUAGAGAUCGGGAAGAACAUCAGUGGCGAAGGCGGCCUGCUGGGCUGUUGCUGACGCUGAGGCGCGACAGCGUGGGGAGCAAACAGG